rnacentral:tRNA from 2 species
GCCCCUGUAGCUCAGCUGGAUAGAGCAGCGGCCUUCUAAGCCGCAGGUCCCAGGUUCGAAUCCUGGCGGGGGCA